UAAAAGUAAUUUUUUAUAAUUAUAAUUAUAAUUAUAAUUAUUAUGAUUUACAAUAAGUAGUGCAAAUUUUAAAAAAAUCCACGACCUCGAUACCCGCAGUGAUCGCAAUAGUAUCCAUUAUGUCCGCAAUCACGAUAAACACAACGCGACCGAAAACACAACCGUGACUGCAAUUUAAAUCCUUACUCAAGAGGAUGAUGUGGUAUGGCAAGCGAAGACUGGAUAUAGACUUCUAAAUACGGACCCUAUGAUGACUAUUCCUAAUGCUGACGAUAGAACAAUAUACAAGAAACUACGGAACACUCCGGCCCCUUCUAAGAUCAAAAUCGUGACCUGGAGAUUAUUACAUAACUAGGUCUACUUAUGUGAAUCUAUACGAGGCGUGUUGCAGCCACUCCUAUUUGUCCAAGAUGUCAAGCCGAACCUGAAACUGUUUCACAUGUAAUUACAACGUCUGGUCCUGCACAAGAGGUUUGGUAAUCAUUAUCUUUAAUUUGGCCAGCUAAUUCACAGAAUGAGCAUUUUUGGGUAUGGUUUGAAUUUCUUGUUAGAAACAGUUCCAUACCUGACUGUAGAAUGAUUAUUGUAUGCGCCAAACAAGAAGAUUAGGAGAACAAGCUGCAGUCGGCACAUGAUAUAUAUAGUGGGUAAAAUUCAAGCAUAUCUCAAGGAGUUGGACAAUUUGGACCUGAAAUUACCCGUGCAGAUUAAUCAUACAGUUGCCAAGUGAACUCCCCCAAGGGAUCCUUAUGUCAAGAUCAAUUUUGAUGCUGCAUUCAAAGAGCAAGAGAGACAAUCAAGAUCAGAAACAUACCUGAUGCUUUCUCGGCAGAAGCAUUAGCUUGUGUUCAGGCUCUAAAAUUUGCGCGUGAGAUGGGUUUCACCAUGAUUGAGGUUGAAGGGGAUUCUCGCACAGGAUCAUUUCAAAUAUUAAUGGUGCAAAGGAAGAUAAAUCUCUUAAUAGUGCAUAUAUAGCAGAUGCUAGAACUCAAGUGAAUCAUUUCAUGAAGGUCAUGCAAAUAGAGAAUGCAACAAGGUAGCCCAUGCGAAAGCACAGGAGGGUUUCGCAUUGCACGAAGAUACUUACUGGGUUGAGGAGGUUCCGACAGUAGCAUUGACGGCAGUGGCGACUGAUCGACGAUGAGUCGAUCCUCCCUGGUUAACGUUUUGGUUGGAGAUUGUGCUUUGAGGGCCAUCUUUGUCGUUUUGAUUGCAUGACUCUCUUAAGAUUUGGGUGGGUGCUCGUAUUUUUACAGUAAUCUAGCAUUUCUUGAUGCUUUUCUUCCCAUA
rnacentral:lncRNA from 1 species